AUUAGUCAUCACAAAGCAUAUGGCAAAACUCUUUUGGAACUUUGACGCUUGUUGCUUCUUAUGGGAAAACUUACGGGCAACGUUAUUGAUAUUUGUAUAGCCUGAACUCAUGUAAAAUGUAGAAAAAUGGUAAAUUAGAAGAGAAAACUGGGCGAAACGACUGCCAGAGGACAACAUAGAGGUCACUGGUAAAUUUGAAAUAUGAGAAUUGUGUUUUAGAACUUAAAAUCUUGUUAAGAUUUACCAGAAAGCCGAGAAGUACUAAUGUUUAAAGAAGAAUGUAUUGGUUAACUGAAUUAAUAACCUUACAUUCAUUUUUUGUUUGAUAAAUGAUGACAAAGCAUCGUAAAUGACAAGCUAUACGGCGUGGACAUAAUUUAUAGUCCCAUCUCAUGUGGUGAGGAUGGAAGAAUUACGAGCUCCAUCAAUGGAAUUCGUGUUAAGCGCCGUUAAAGUGGUAGAAAUGGUUUGACAAUGUCAUAAAGAUGGCAGUGUGGACACGUCUGGGUGAGCUUUUACAUGAACUACCAAAACACUAAAUGGUCAAUUUACGUGGCUUACUGCAUCCUCUUGAUAUUAGGGCGAUAUUCGGUAGUGAGGCGGAGCACUCGCCUGCUGCUUGACGCCAGAAAUGCGGAAUCGUAGACAUUCCGGAACGGGCAUCCCUGGCCUCCACAGUAAAUUACCUCCCUUCAAGAACGACACCCUCCAAAGCCAUUCGAAGGCGUUGCUGAUGUGUCUUACAAUACAGUAGAGCAGUUCCUCGGAACAUAAACUGAUAGUCGUCAAAAGCCUCCACAGCCUGAAGAUGAGAUAGCAUAUUUCUUCGGAAGAUUUUUGAGAAUAUGGGGGCUUGCUAGAGAUCGUAGAAACAGCAACACCGGUUAUACACUUCUGAAAAGUCGAUCCCAGAAGGCAGACGCCCAUCCAGUGUCCAGGGCUUGAAGGCUGGACCAAAAUAUAGAAGACUAGAAGGUCUCUUCCAUAGCAAGACCGUUUACAAUCCCAGAAUUGAAAACGGUCUAUCCACUUGCCACCCAGAGACGUCAAAAGACCCUAGAGAAUUCCUCAUACAAUGUUCUCAAUACGAACCACGAAGAGUUGCUAGAUGGUCUUAUUGAAGCUAUUCUGUAGAAAAACUUAAGUGUGCUAGGAGCGUUCGCGCGAAAGUUAUGGAAAUAUUCUUUUCUUCAAGAUUUCCUCAUCAAAUUCCAAUAUACAUAUCUUCAAGUCGUAAGCCAUAUGCCUGCAAGAAGAUAGCCGCUCCUGCACUUAAUUUAAAUGAUCUGAUAUGUUUGGAUAAAUUGUGAGUACGUAUUGCGUUUAAUGGUAAUUUAAAAACAAAUUAGUUUUUGGCAGAGGGGCCAUUUAAUAAGUUGCAAUAAAAUAAUAAUGAGUACUGCACAAAAAUUUUCAAUAUAUUUUCUACUAAUGAAAAACAAAAGGUAAUUUCUGUAUUAUUGUUUACGUUUUGGUGUUUUUGGUGAAAACUGUAAGUUCUAGAAUUCUUAAUCAUUGCUUUAAAAUUUUUAAAAGACAAAAUUAAUAUGUAUUUUCUUCUUUUACGUAAGCCUUCUGGGAAAUAAUUGAUGGACAAUUAGUCCUGAGCUUUAUUUAUUUUUUUGUUAGCAUUUUUGGCGGUUGACUGUAUUUGUCACAACGUUCGUAAAAUUAAAAGUGUCCGUGUAACAUCUAUUGACUAAGGUCGAGAGCAGGACAUCGAAGGAGUCCAAGAACAUGCUGCAACAAACAAAUCAAAUAUAUAGAAAUAGCAGAAACAAUCGUAGAACAGUUGAUUACCAAAAAUUAUUCCAAAACAGUUUGAGGGCAAACAAAAGAUAUUUAACAAAAUGAAAACCAAACUCAAGUGAAGGUAAGCAACGGAACACAACAAAUUUAGAGAUCAUCGCAGCCUUGCUCUGGGAAAAAAGAACACUCAAAGAGAAUGAUUCGUAAGCAAAACGCCAAACAUAGAAGCAUUUCUUGCGAAAUAGUCAAAAUUUCAUCUCGCGAUUAAAUAAAAGGCCUUCCCUUUUAUUCCAGUACGCCCAUGGAAAUUGGCACUGGACAGAAUAAAACGAAAAUUAACCAAAAUAAAAGAACAUACAGCUACACCUAAAUAAAUAUUACCAAAAUCGAUGUUUUGAAUAUAAGGACAAAAUAUAUGCACAAUUGAAAGAAAUGCCAAUGGGAUUACUGGCCUCCCUAGGCCUCGCUGACAUGAUAAUGGACGAACUGUUGGAUAAAACUACUGACAAAUUAGAAAUAAAACUAAAAGGGAGUUUCCAACUAGGAGAUGUCCUGAAUCCUGUCAUUCAACACUAAUUACAUUCCGCUUCGAACAAUAAAGGCGACUAAUUUCUCCUUAGUUUAAAUAUUGGCCGACGUGCGCGACAAUAAGACGAUACGAGGUUCUGUUUUAGAUAUUAACAUCUAAAUAUAAAUAUCGCUGACCAGCAAUGCGGCAAACAGACAACAAAAUCCGAUGGUUCCUAGAUGACCCAUAUAUCCUUGGUGUUACCAUACCAAAGAUAUCGUCCUGGCGAACCUAAAUGACCGAAGUAGUAACAAUAUAUGAAUGAUUUUUUCAGCCGUCCCCAGCAACAGCCCAAUCCAAAUCCAUGGUACCUAGUUGACCCAUAUAUCCUUGAUUAUACCAUGUCAUUGAUAUAGUCCUGGUGAACCUAAAGGAUCAGAUCGGUCCAGAAAUAUGUAUGAUUUCUUGCUUCCAGUGCCCCUUUUAUAGAAUAUUGUCAUUCAAAUUUACGAUCGUUGAUUUACCAGUUAACUGUUAAAAACAAUUAAAUAACUUGUUAGGGUGCAAUGAAAUUGUUAUUAAAAAAUUUUUAGUUCGACUGCCUACUGGAAAUUUAUGUUCGCCUGGUACUUUAGCCGAAUUUUCAUUAAAACUUGAGCACGCAGCUGCUCCUCCGCCCGCCCCGUUUGGGUAUGCAAUGAAAUUUUUGAUUCACAAAAAUUUUAGUUCGUCUACCUGCUGGGCAUUUCUGUUCGCCUGGUAUUUUUGCUUAAUUUCCAUUCAAAUCUAACGCCCCUUCGUAGCAGCGGCUGUUAACAGGGGUAUGUUAAGUAACAGCUGCAGCGGCUGGUUAACAGUGAACUGUUAAAUAACAGCUGCUGUUUAACAGUUGACUGUUAAACUAAAUUUUUCUGUGUAUCUACCUGCUGGGCAUUUCUGUUCGCCUGGUACUUCAGCUGAAUUUUGAUUUAAAAAGGAGAUCCCAACGGCCGGUCACAGUGUUAUGGUAUUUUGCAACCGUUAAUUUUUAAACCUCAAUUUAAUUGUGGACAAUGCUUUUAAGCGAAUUUUGAUGGAAUAUGAUAGGAACCAUAUAGGGACGGUCGGCUGAAAGAAACGCAUGUGUAUUUAUAUUUUGCAUGGACUUGGUACUGUAGGUUCACCAGGACUAUAUCAAUGGUAUGGUAAAACCAAGGAUAUGUGGGUCAUCUAGGAACCAUGGGGUUUGACUGAAUUUUCGCCCAAAACGAAGCCGAUAUGGCUAGAUAAGCAGAUAAGACGAACUGCAAAUACUGUUUGUCCAAAAAUGUAAAUGGCCAUAACCCGGCCAAAUAAAGACCGAUCCUGGGAAAUAUAAGAGCGUUAAACUUGUGAUAGUCUAGCUAGGAUACCGAGGAGUGAUUCUUUGCUCAUGAAAUUUACGACGCAUCAGUGGGAAUAUUAGGCUAUUUGUUGAACACUAAUUUCUGAUUGCAAAAAAAAAAUCUUAACAUGAUAUUAGAUUAGAGACUAAUUUAAGUUGAACUAUCUAUUUCAGAGUGGCAUUCAUGUUCAAAGGACAAGCACUAAAGUCUCAACAGGAUUUCAAUACAGAACGCGACUUACGAGAUUUUACAUCAGAGAGCAAUAACGCCCAUGAUGCAUCGCGGCCUGUGCUGGUAAGAAAGGUUUCAAUAUACAACAAGAAUGCCUGGAAAAGUAAAAUUAAAAGAAACUUUGACGAAAUUGAUAAGGCUUCCGUCAGUUUUGGCCUCCUUAAUCCUCUGGUGUAGUUAUAAAUAUUUUAACUUCUAUCUAGACUUACUAUCUGAAGUAUAACUUACUCAUAUUUGCUUUGUGUUAGGGGAAUAUUAUAAUAAAAAUUAUGCUCAAUACUUAGGAAAAUUAAUCAAAUAUGUUUAGAUAUAAAGCGAUACUAAUAAAAACAAGUACAAUUGUUAA